GGGCUCAAGGCGUCGUGCGCAUUUGACCCUC
rnacentral:ribozyme from 1 species